UUUAGCCAGCUGAGUGGGGAGGAGAGUGGGACAGAGAGCCUGCUUGCUUUAAAGGAGCCAACCGGACAGGAGCCGCUUACACUCGUGUACGCGGCUCCUCUCCUCUCCCGCUUUGCUCCUUUAAAGCAAGCAGGCUCUCUGUCCCUCUCUCCUCCCCACUCAGCGGCUCU
rnacentral:miRNA from 1 species